rnacentral:misc_RNA from 1 species
GUGAAUCAAGGAGACCUGAUGUUCAUCAGGCUUCGAACCCUUCACAUCCAAACACUGUGCACUGCUUCAGAUGAAUUCUACCCAUCGGUAGUUAUUAGUCUGUCCUUUCUUACUAACUCUGGUCAUUGCAUGUGAUUUAUUUGUAAUAUAACA